rnacentral:misc_RNA from 1 species
ACACCCUCAAGCCCUGCUUGGUGUUGGGCGUCUGUCCUCCAGCGACUACCGCGUGGACUCGCCUCAAAAGGCAUUGGCAGCGGUCCUGCCGGGCCUCCUAAUCGCGCAGCACUGUUCGCGCUUCCUGGAGCCCGCGCGGAUUCGGCGUCCAUCAAGCCCAAUCUUCUGA